UCGGUUUGAAAUUCAAAAUUUGAAUUUCAAAUUUUUAAUUUUCUUCUUUUAAUUGAUUAAUUAAUUAAUUGGUUUCUUUUUUAGUUGAUUAAUUUGAUUGUUAAUCUCUUCGUUUGGUGAAUUUAAUUCUAUCUGGAUCUUAGCUUUGUUCUAAUUGGAACAAUUAUCAUUGAAAAUGGAUUUUUUUUUCUUCUGAAUUUGUCUAUGUGUUUGUCUCGCUCACCCAUUUGGUUUUAUUCAUCGAUGUUCCUGUUUCCAUGUUAUUCAGAGUAACGGAUUGAUGAUUCUAAAUACAAUUACCAAGAAGAAAACAAUAUGCUCGAUGGUUUAUGUAAACUAUUGAUGCCCUUAAGCCUUAUUCACGGGAAUGAUUGAGUAUUUAUGGUUUUGAUAACAAGAGUCAAGAUUAUCAAACAUGAGCCAUGAAAAUGACCUGAAUGUGAAUCAUCAAUAUCGAGAAAAUUGAAUGAAUAUUAAAGUCACCAAAUCAACAAUCAAAUCUAUUGGAUGGUGGAUAAUAUUAAAU